GUGGCGGUACAGACGGCCGCCCGCUUCGGCGGGAGGAAAGUCCGGGCUCCACAGGGCAGGGUGCCGGGUAACGCCCGGCGGGGGCAACCCCAGGGAAAGUGCCACAGAAAGCAAACCGCCUUGUUGCAUGGCGACAGGGUAAGGGUGAAAACGCGGUGUAAGAGACCACGGGCCGCCUGGGUAACCUGGCGGUCGGUAAACCCCACCCGGAGCAAGACCGAACAGGGGGCGGGCUGCCCGUCCGGUGCCCCCGGGUAUGGUCGCUUGAAGCGUCCGGCAACGGACAGCUCAGAUGAAUGGCCGUCGGGAACUUAUGUUCCGACAGAACCCGGCUUACGGACCGCCACGAUC
rnacentral:RNase_P_RNA from 1 species